rnacentral:rRNA from 1 species
UACUAGAGUAGCACUCGCAUAUCAAUAAGCGGAGGAAAAGAAACUAACAAGGAUUCCCCUAGUAACGGCGAGUGAAGCGGGAAGAGCUCAAAUUUGAAAUCUUAAAGGGUUUCCCUUUACGAAUUGUAGUUUAAAGAAGUGUUUUCUGUUGAGGUUUUGGUAAAAGUUCUUCGGAAUAGGACAUCAUAGAGGGUGAGAAUCCCGUAUUUGACCUUUACUUUCAACUUUGUGAUACACUUUCAAAGAGUCGGAUUGUUUGGGAAUGCAGUCCAAAAUGGGUGGUAAAUUUCAUCUAAAGCUAAAUAUUGGCGAGAGACCGAUAGCGAACAAGUACCGUGAGGGAAAGAUGAAAAGAACUUUGAAAAGAGAGUUAAACAGUACGUGAAAUUGUCAAAAGGGAAGCGUUUGACACCAGUGUUGUUUUUCUGAAAAUCAAUUAAAGAACUGUUUAUGCUAAGCUGUUUAGACUUUAUCAGCUAUCUGUUUAGUUUUGAGCUUUUCUUUAAUGCACUUUUCAGUUAACAAGUCAACAUCAAUUUCUUUUGCUGUAAAAAAGCUUGAGGAAGGUGGCUUGAGAUUCGUCUUAAGUGUUUAUAGCCUCUUGCCUAUGCAGUCGGAGAGAUUGAGGUCUGCAGCGUAGAUCCUUCGGGGCUAAAUGCAUUUGUGCUAAGUUAUAGCAUUUCAUAGACAACUUGUUGACUAUGAUUUGUCUUGUAGCUUACUCGCUUAUGUUAUUUUACCUACGCUUAGGAUGUUGAGUCAUCACACAUCUCU